GGAAACUCUUCCAAGUUUGGAAGAUACCAACAUUUUUUGAGCUCUGCUCAGAUAACAUGAAGAAAGCAUGUUCAGAGUGCUUCACAGCUGUGUCCCACACUUCCCCCUGUGGUCUGCAGAACCCAGCUCUCAACUGUGUUCAUCAAACUCCUCAGUGAUCCCCAUCGAUAGGCUCAGGUAUUACCUGCCUGCCUGCCUGCCUGCCUGCCGCAUUGAGAGCGAGCAGCACAACCCUGCUCUGCUGGUGAACCCAAGAGCACGCAGACACACAGUCUGAAGGAAGAGCCUGUGUCAGAUCCCAGCCCAGCCUCUGACAAUCACAUCCUCCCGUCAGCUUCAUCAUCUCAGAAUGAGCUCUCCGCGGCCAGGAUAUUACAGAGCACAGUAAGUACUUGCCCUAUCCCUCAGCCACCGAGGAUGUGACAGAAAUCACAAAGCUGCACUUGCUUUUAUUAAUACAUCCCCGCAGAGAAGAUAAAUGGCAAAUUUCAUUUCAUUCUUAAGGUCAUGUUUUGGAUAACUAGACAACCAAUCAAUCAGGUGAUUGAUCACCCUGAAUCCCUUCCAUUGGAACAGGGUGGGCACCAGAAACAAUGCCCCC
rnacentral:lncRNA from 1 species